UUAAAAAAAAAGAAACAUAACCUACACAACAUAAGUCUGGCUUGCAAGAAAAAACAGAAUAAAAAAAAGGAAGGAGCCGUAUAUAGACGGCACAUCCGAAUAAACCCAAAACAAACUUUCUAACCACACCCUCAUAUGUCCUACUAUAUGUCCUAAAAACUCCCAGUGGGACUAAAAACUGCCCAGCCCAAAAUACAUUACAACUGCACCUAAAGGGCUUAAUACUCCACCCAAAAAAAAUACCACUAUCUACACCCUAACCAGCUACAACAACCAAUAAGAAGCACAAAAAUAAUACAUUGAGAGAAAGAAGAAAAAAAAAACACAGUGUCUAGGCCGCAACAGCUCCGAAACCCCCAUCCACCAUGCUCACCCAAAUAUGUCCAGCUCUACACCAUCUCCAUAGACAAUCUCCAGGAUCUCAACACCACACAUAAAACAAGCAAGGCGUACACUUCAAUCUAGCGAACCCCCACCUCCAAGAUAACACCGUAAUUUCAUCCACCAUCUCGCCUACCUCUUUAAUUUUGAUUGUUGAAAAAUUUUCUUGCUUUCCAAAUUGCCGCAUGCCACACCAACCAAAAGCCUUUUCACAUCUUCUUUCUCUCGCCUCCCAACUCCAACAUUCAAGAUUGGUAAACGAAUUAUGAGGGGUGAUGAAAUUAAAACCAAGCCAACACAUAAUAUUUCUCCAAAUCUCGUCAAUUAAUCGACAAUGCAAGAAAAUAUGGAUCAAUAUUCUUCCACGGUAUCACAAGAAAAAAA
rnacentral:lncRNA from 1 species